rnacentral:lncRNA from 1 species
CAGGAGGCGCUGCCCGUCCUCCCUGCUAUUUCUGGAGCUGAAAGGUUGUCAGAUGCUGAGCCCUGGUGACCUGGGAGACGUGUAGGCUGCCUUCUUCCCACAGACCUUCGAAGGCCAUCCGCAGCUGCGCACGGCACAGCAGUGGAACAAACGGGAGACGAUGGAAACUGGAGGAGAGGAGAUGAGCUGAGCUGGAGUCCACCUGACACCUUCCCUGUCUUCCCGACUGAGGAGGAUGAGAGAUGAAGGCAAGCAGUCAUGUACUUGUGCCCCUAAAUACUAAGAUAAAA